UACAGAGGGGGCCAGCGUUAUUCGGAAUUAUUGGGCGUAAAGGGCGCGUAGGCGGCCGAUCAAGUCAGGCGUGAAAGCCCCGGGCUCAACCUGGGAAUGGCGCUUGGGACUGGUUGGCUUGAGUUCGGGAGAGGAGAGUGGAAUUCCCAGUGUAGAGGUGAAAUUCGUAGAUAUUGGGAAGAACACCGGUGGCGAAGGCGGCUCUCUGGACCGAGACUGACGCUGAGG
rnacentral:rRNA from 1 species